UGCCACGAUGCAAGUUUUCCAAGGCAUUAAUUAAAGGUCCUUCGUCUUCUGGUAUUUCGGCUAGCGUGUUCCACAAGCAUUCUUUCGGAUUCAAAUUUCCCUCUUCGAUCACCCGCCCCUUUCGUUCAUUUAUUCUUUACUCUCUAACUAGAACAUUUGAUAACGUUUGUCUUUAUUUCAUACCUCACCUCUCCUGCUCUAUUUUUCAAGAAGCAAAGCUAAGGGAUGGACAUCUAAACCCUAGAGUUGCUCUGAGAUCGUUCUUCCUCAUCGAGGUUGAUGACGAAAAUCUUUAUCCCUCCAUUUUAAGAAACCUCGGCCUCCCUCCUUUCACUAAUCUAUUUUCUUCGCUGGCUCCUUUGAGGUCAUAAGUCUCGCUUCCUUCUCUUUUGCUUUUGUUCGCUACUGGGUUCUUUGAUUGGGGUCAUGCUCAAUCAACCUUGACAGUCGCUUCAUUCCUCUCCUCUUCAUACCUCUUCCCUAUGAGUAUUUCUCCCCGAACCUUUCUUUCUUCUCUGUGGUUGCUUUUCUUUUCUUUUACAUGUGACCACCCUCGACAUUGGAGAUUUACAAGCGCAGUCUUAUGUUGGAAGAACUGAGAAAUUCUGUUGCUACCAUUUGGAAAGGGAAAGCACCCACUACGGUAUUGUCACUCUGAUUUUGGAUCGAGAUUAAGCUUGUCUUUUUGAUACAAUAUGGGGAGGUUUUGCUUUCUCCUUCAUGCUUCUCUUUCUGGGAAAUGAUGUAUUUGGAGUUUUCUUCUACCUUAAAGAUAUCCCCAGAGAGAUUAUUGAAGAAAGAAAAGAGGCCCUAAAAUCUGGCGUGGUCUUUAUCUCUCAGAACUAAAAUAAUGGCUAGCAGCAGGCAUGCACUAUUUUUUUGUUUUACUUUAUUUAUAAUAAUAGCAGGCACUUUUUUUUUGUGUGUUUUCACCAUUUACUCUAUUAGAUAUCAACCAUGUAGCAAAUUAGUAUAUUUGCAUGCAAUAAUUUCAUUAAUUCUGAAAACAUGUUAUGGUACUUAAGUAGACCUGGUACUAACUUGGUCAAAAAAAAAAAGACCUGGUACUGACAGGUGGUUUCUCAUUGGCAAUGCUAUUGAUUCUUGAAAGUAAAUAUUAUUAUGUGAACGUUACUAAAUAUGCAUUCCAUUUUUAAAUAAUUUGUUUCUCCUUUACAACUUUCCUUUUAAUGAGUGCUUUUAGAGCAAUCUCUAUGGAUUGCUUUAGACUUUGACAUGUAGAUUUUCAAUAUCUAUCAAAUCAAAAUUUUGUUGUUGGAUGUGUGUCUUAUUUAGGUAUGGUUACAUAUACAGGUUGUAAUCCUCAGUUUACUUCACGAGAGAUCUUCUAUGCCUUUUUAAUCACCAUUUCAUUAUUGUCAGGAUGCCAUUAUUUGUAGCAUUAUUAUCCUAUAGGCUUUUAUUUUAUUUUUCAGAUUAAUAUUUCUUAACAGAUCUGUAGUUAAUAGUUUAGAGAUCUCUUUAUCUUUUCUUUCAAAAGUUUUACUGUGUAAUUGUCAUGGUGAAUAACCUUUUUCCUCUUUAUGUCUUAUUGAGGAUGCCAUGACAUUGCAAGCUAUAGGAAGAAGUCACAAGUCUUGUCAUGUAGAUUUAUUUACCAGUCAUCAUGGAAAAUUGAUAUCCUAUUGUAACACUUAAGGAUGGUAGUGGUAGACUUGUGGCUGUCAUGUAGAAGAUCUCAAGGUCACGUUUUUUGUGUUUUUGCACAAAUUCAUGAAAAUAAACAAAUGAAGCCAUCAUAGACACAGAUAGAUGGUUCUGCAGUGAUUGAGAAGGAAAGAGUAAAUGAAGGUUGCUAUCAUGUAUAUUUAUUUACCAGUUAUCACUGCUCUCGAGUUGCUAGAUGGCUAUCAUGUAGAUUUAUUUAUCUGUCGUGAUAGAAAAGUCAUGUGCUAUUGUAACACUCAACCAUGACAGAGGUAGACAUGCGGCUAUCGUGUAGAAGAUCUCAAAGCCGCAUUUUGAAAUGCUAACACAGAUUCAUUAAAACACACAAGUGAGGCCAUGAUAGACAUAUAUGCAUGGAUGGUUAUGUAGUGAUUGAGAAGGAAAGAGAAAUUAUUAAAGGAGCUUAUGAAUUUUUUGUGAUUAUUAGUACAAUAGUUGAAGACAAUACGCUAUGAAAUUAUGUACUUAAGAAUCUAAUAACAAGUCCCUUUGUACCAAGUACAGCUAUGGAAAGCAUAUCACUUAAAUCUUAUGUCUACACCAGUCCUCCCAUUAAUGCUAUAUCAGAAUAUAUUAAUUGUAGAUUUGAGAUGCUUGUAUGUUUUUUAAAUUCUUCUAUUACUAUGUGUAUAGAUAGGUUCUUAUUGAUCUUGCUUCCUUCCUCGGGAUGCUAUUUAAAUAUCAAUGGUCCAGUAUUUCCUUGAUUGUGUAUUAGUUAUUUAAUUGUCAUCAUUAAGUUUAGUUUUUUUGUGACCAAAUUAUUGAGUUCAGGUUGCAAAAUGUACAUUUACAAGAUUCUACCAUGUUGCAAGUAAAGUCCUUAUAAUUACAUUAUUAGGCCUUUAACAUGUCAAAUGUCAUGUGUUGUGUCUGUUGACUGUUGAGCGUUUCAUAUUUCAUGUUAAUUUCUAUCAUCUUUUUCCUUGCCUUUUAUCAUUUCAUUAUUUUUGUUCAUUAUAGUUAGCUUUUUAAGUGCUACACAUUAGCUAAGGUAUGGUAUAAUAUACCAUGCAUGUCAUGAUCUUAAAAAUAACUAUAUUGUGUUAGUACGUUUAAUGACACAUGAAACAAAUAGACUUGUGGCUGACCACUUUGUUCGAUUAGAUAAAAUUUGAUGUCAUGUUUUGUCAUGCAUGUGGUGCGCGGUCUAUAUUUGUAUUUAGUCUCAUAAUUCAGAAAAUAUUUUGAUAUCCUUCAUAUUAGCUAUAUAUUUGUGCUUCUUAGUUCACAUCACAUCAUUUAGAUUCUUUUGGACAAAUGUGUGUAAUCCCUAAUUCUAUGAUGUCUAAAGGAUAUUUGACAACCAUUUAUUUCUCCUCUUGUAUCUCAUGUAAACUUUGGUAUCCACAAAAAUUUUUUCCAACAUUUGUUGUCAGUAAUCACCAUAAUUAUGCAUGAUUCUUCUUAAUAUUAUAUGGUAUGCGCAACUGUAAAUCAUGUUAUUUUACUUGAAUUCCUGAAAUAUAAGUCAUGAAAAGAAAAUUUUUAUUCCUGAAAUAUAAGUCAUGAAAAGAUAUUUUAUUUUUAAGCACCAAUCUAAUGACUUGCCACUCUGUAAUCAAGAGAACGUUGUGAUUUGGACUUCAAAGGGAUGGGACUUCUCAGUAUUUGAUAUUCUUUUAUAAUCAACAGGUUUAACUCUCUCUCUCUCUCUCUUGCUGAUAUUACUUGUGCUGAUUUUAUUUGUAUUUUGCAGAAAUUUGGUGGGAUGAAUGAUGUUAAAGAGAGUUAACUGUCCUCUAUGAUUUUCUAGGUGACAUUGUAUUUUCUGCAAGGUUAUUGACUAUAGAGGAUACUUGCUUGUAGAAAUUAGAAGUUGGCGCAAAGUAUUAAAAUUUUUUUCCUUGUACUUCUUUUAAACUUGGUCAAUAAUAUUUGAUUUUAGUUAUUUAAA